rnacentral:misc_RNA from 1 species
UCUCGGCUUACACCGGCAGUCCUGUUAGAGUUCCCGGCAUUACCCGAUGGCAACUAACAGUAGGGGUUGCGCUCGUUAUGGGACUUAACCCGACACCUCACGGCACGAGCUGACGACAACCAUGCAGCACCUAGUUUCUUGUCCCGAAGGAAGAGAGUGUUUCCACUCCUGUCAAUAACUUUCAAGCCCGGGUAAGGUUCCUCGCGUAUCAUCGAAUUAAACCACAUGUUCCUCCGCUUGUGCGGGCCCCCGUCAAUUCCUUUGAGUUUCAUUCUUGCGAACGUACUCCCCAGGUGGAUAACUUAACGCUUUCGCUAAGUCACAGACUGUGUAUCGCCUGCAACGAGUUAUCAUCGUUUACGGCGUGGACUAC